rnacentral:rRNA from 1 species
AUUGAACGCUGGCGGCAUGCCUUACACAUGCAAGUCGAACGGCAGCGCGGGAGCAAUCCUGGCGGCGAGUGGCGAACGGGUGAGUAAUAUAUCGGAACGUGCCCAGUAGUGGGGGAUAGCCCGGCGAAAGCCGGAUUAAUACCGCAUACGACCUACGGGUGAAAGGGGGGGAUCGCAAGACCUCUCGCUAUUGGAGCGGCCGAUAUCAGAUUAGGUAGUUGGUGGGGUAAAGGCCUACCAAGCCUGCGAUCUGUAGUUGGUCUGAGAGGACGACCAGCCACACUGGGACUGAGACGCGGCCCAGACUCCUACGGGAGGCAGCAGUGGGGAAUUUUGGACAAUGGGCGCAAGCCUGAUCCAGCAAUGCCGCGUGCAGGAAGAAGGCCUUCGGGUUGUAAACUGCUUUUGUCAGGGAAGAAAUCCUCUGGGUUAAUACCUCGGGGGGAUGACGGUACCUGAAGAGUAAGCACCGGCUAACUACGUGCCAGCCGCCGCGGUAAUAC